UGGAUUAAUACCCCAUGGUAUAUAGAGAUGGCAUCAUUUUUAUAUUAAAGUCACAACGGUGAAAGAUGGGCAUGCGUCCCAUUAGCUAGAUGGUAAGGUAACGGCUUACCAUGGCUACGAUGGGUAGGGGUCCUGAGAGGGAGAUCCCCCACACUGGUACUGAGACACGGACCAGACUCCUACGGGAGGCAGCAGUGAGGAAUAUUGGACAAUGGGCGCAAGCCUGAUCCAGCCAUGCCGCGUGCAGGAUGACGGUCCUAUGGAUUGUAAA
rnacentral:rRNA from 1 species